rnacentral:rRNA from 1 species
UACAGAGGGUGCGAGCGUUAAUCGGAGUGACUGGGCGUAAAGGGCACGUAGGCGGUUAUGUUAGUCUGAUGUGAAAGACCUGGGCUUAACCUGGGAUGUGCAUUGGAAACGGCAUAGCUAGAGUAUGGGAGAGGGAAGUGGAAUUUCCGGUGUAGCGGUGAAAUGCGUAGAGAUCGGAAAGAACACUGGUGGCGAAGGCGGCUUCCUGGCCCAAAACUGACGCUGAGGUGCGAAAGCGUGGGGAGCAAACAGG